ACCUUGGAGCCUUCAAGUCCCAGCCUGGCAGGCAUCCAGAAGGCCCAAGUCAGCUGAAGUCACCUCCCCACCAGCAUGGCCCUGGUCACAGCUCUGGGGAAAAACUAGUCUCAAACUCCAGGGAGAACCCAGGCACAGCCUCAAUUUACUGGCCCAUAAAUCAGGUAGAAUGCUCUGGGUUUGACACCGGCUAACUCUCAUUGAUGCUUUUUUUUUUUUUUUUUUUUUUUUUAAUCGUGGCUGAAAACUUCCAGGAUGUUACAGAAAAAAGGACAGGCCACGCCUGAAAAUGUCCUGUCAGACCUAAUCAGGCCCCCUGCUACGGUUUUAGCCCUUAACUGCUGGUUUGCAAAUAGAUGGUAAAUAAGUCAGGCGGUUGGCAACUCUGUUCGGAAAUGGCGUGUAGCAGGUUAAGUCGAGGCAUAUAUUUCAAAGGGAGAAAAGGACAUUUCUCCUAUCACUGGCUCUUACCCAGCAGCCCUGGGAACCAGCCCCGCUAGCAUGUGAGUUUGGCAUUCAAACCAGGUCUGAGUCCACACUGGGAGCCUGGACACGGACUCCCUGGCCUGGUGUUCACCUGCAGCCUCAGAACCCAGGUGGAAAUUAAAUCACCUACCCGGGUGAGCAGAUCCCGCCUCGAGUCUACACCCCCUCCAAACUCAGGGAAAGGCAGAUUCCCCAUUUUCCUCUGGUCUUCUCUCCAAAGCCUCUCUAUAGACUGAAAACCCGGCCACGUAGCCCCAAGAGUUGCCUCCACCAGCCUCAGACCAGCCCUCCACCUAUACCCCAAUCCACACAUCCAGCCACUUUGGUUCGAAGCCCUGAAAGCUUCUGGAGAAGAUGCCUUCAAGCGGGGAUGGGGAGGUCUGAUCCCACAGCUCUGCACCCCUGCCCGUGGGGACCCCACGUGCCCAGCGCUGUUCGAGGAUCUCCAGCAACGGAGGCACAGAGAGGUCGAGCCAUUUGCCUGAGGUCCCACAGUGUGGCGAUCUCAGGUAGGGACUUGGACGCAGCUCACCCAGCACAUCAAAAGUAUUCAACAGACCCGGCUGCCUUUCUGCACCUUCUCACCCUCCACGAACAGAAGCUACUUGGCCCUGACACGUGCCCUCUUGUCACAUCCCACCAGCUCCUCAACUGUCAGGCCUCGGGCUCACGCCUCUAUCACCACCGCCCCAUCAACGUACCCUUUAGAGCAUCUGUGGACACCCCUUAGCCCAGGCUCUGAGGUGCCAGGAGGGCUCUCACAGGCCGACCCUGGGCCCUGGCGGCCAAGGCCGGCCCUCAGCCAGCCGGACCUCCCUCCACGGCUGCUGCACCAGCAAGGCUGACCGUGGGCUGACUCAGUCUCGUUAACCAGGCCCAGCACCCCAGAAGCCCCAACUCACCGCGUGGCCUGACCUCAAGCCACCAGCUCCUUCACAGUAGAGGCCAGAGCCUCCAGGGCCACCUGCCAACAGGGCUCAGAACCUGGCCCACCCCCCCUCUCCUCCCAGAAGGUCCUCGUUGCUUCCAGAGGCACCCCGAGGGCUCCAGGCCUGGUCUUGACUGCCUGGGGCCGGGAUCUCCACCGUGACUGCUGCCGGAGCUGGAAGGAACGCCCUUUGAACUGUCUACAUUAGGGUAUGACGUAUAAUACGUGAACGUACAGAAUGAUCAAUUUUUUAACGGGUGAGUGAUCAAAAUGUUUGGAGGCCAAAGAUUUAGGAAAGACCUAGUGCCCUGAACUGGUUUCCUGUCACCGCUGUGACAAGCUAGCACAACCUCAGUGACUUAGAAACCACAAAGAUUUAGGGGCGCCUGGGUGGCUCAGUCGGUUGGGCGUCCGACUUCAGCUCAGGUCACGAUCUCGCGGUCCGUGAGUUCGAGCCCCGCGUUGGGCUCUGGGCUGAUGGCUCAGAGCCUGGAGCCUGCUUCCGAUUCUGUGUCUCCCUCUCUCUCUGCCCCUUCCCUGUUCAUGCUGUCUCUCUC